AUUGAACGCUGGCGGCAGGCUUAACACAUGCAAGUCGAGCGGGGGAGGUUGCUUCGGUAACUGACCUAGCGGCGGACGGGUGAGUAAUACUUAGGAAUCUGCCUAUUAAUGGGGGACAACAUCUCGAAAGGGAUGCUAAUACCGCAUACGCCCUACGGGGGAAAGCAGGGGAUCACUUGUGACCUUGCGUUAAUAGAUGAGCCUAAGUCGGAUUAGCUAGUUGGUGGGGUAAAGGCCUACCAAGGCGACGAUCUGUAGCGGGUCUGAGAGGAUGAUCCGCCACACUGGGACUGAGACACGGCCCAGACUCCUACGGGAGGCAGCAGUGGGGAAUAUUGGACAAUGGGGGGAACCCUGAUCCAGCCAUGCCGCGUGUGUGAAGAAGGCCUUUUGGUUGUAAAGCACUUUAAGCGAGGAGGAGGCUACCGAGAUUAAUACUCUUGGAUAGUGGACGUUACUCGCAGAAUAAGCACCGGCUAACUCUGUGCCAGCCGCCGCUGUAAAAC
rnacentral:rRNA from 1 species